rnacentral:rRNA from 1 species
GACGAACGCUGGCGGCGUGCCUAAUACAUGCAAGUAGAACGCUGAAGGAGGAGCUUGCUCUUCUGGAUGAGUUGCGAACGGGUGAGUAACGCGUAGGUAACCUGCCUGGUAGCGGGGGAUAACUAUUGGAAACGAUAGCUAAUACCGCAUAACAGUAGAUGUCGCAUGACAUUUGCUUAAAAGGUGCAAUUGCAUCACUACCAGAUGGACCUGCGUUGUAUUAGCUAGUUGGUGAGGUAACGGCUCACCAAGGCAACGAUACAUAGCCGACCUGAGAGGGUGAUCGGCCACACUGGGACUGAGACACGGCCCAGACUCCUACGGGAGGCAGCAGUAGGGAAUCUUCGGCAAUGGACGGAAGUCUGACCGAGCAACGCCGCGUGAGUGAAGAAGGUUUUCGGAUCGUAAAGCUCUGUUGUAAGAGAAGAACGAGUGUGAGAGUGGAAAGUUCACA